UCUAAUAUGAACUUUCUCCUUUAUUUUAGGGUAAAUAUCAUUGAAUGGGUUGAAACCUCACAAAAUCAUUCAAUUGGAUUAUUCCAAUAAAUGUUUGAGGGGCGAUUUUUUUGUUUUCAUUUCCUAAAAAUAAAAAAAUUUAAAAUUCCCAAACCGCACUUGUCAAGAAUGGGAAGCUUGAAUAAUAAGGGGUUUUCAGUCAUUUGAUGCCUAAGAGGCCCUAAUCUAUUUAUUCAUGGUCACAAAUAAGGAACGCACUGUUUAGGGUUAGUAAUGAGGAGCAACUAGACAUAUUUUUAUCAUUUGACACCCAAAUGCUUAGCAUGUACCAAAUUAUAUAAAUACCUUUAAUUGUUCCUCAUUAGAAAACUUGAAUAGUGAGUUCCUUACUUAUAAUCCUCAGAAGUAUUUCAACCUUCAGUUUUGACCUAUUAUAGGUAAAAUUAUUAAAAUAUCCCUAAUUCUUCACGCUUCUCAUUCCUAAACAAGGGUAGCUUGGAAGUUUUUAGAAUUCCUUUUGAGGAGGCAUCAAAUGAAAUGAAAAUAAAAAGAUAAACCCACAGUUGUUAAUCGAGAUCAUUGGCUCCUUUAAUUAUAAACUCUUCAAUGAUACUUUCCUUGUUAUUUAAUUUGUGGAGUAGAGUGGGUAUUGGAUGGUUAUCCAAAAUCACCCCAACAUUAUUUUCCUCCUAGUCAAAAGGCUUGUAUGAUCAUUGUAAAAACUACCAUUGGUGGGGAUUUUAUAAGCCACCGUGUAGAGAGAGAGAGAAAAUAGUUAUUAUGAGUGAGAGAGCUUUUGUCGAAGUUGAGAUUUGGCGUUCUAACAAAACCACAGCUACUAUUACGCCCUAUUUUCGUAGCUUUCCUUAGUAAUUCCCAUGGCAAGCAAAGCCAUGGUGAUGGAGAUGGAUUCAAUAAGAAUGUUGGUUGGGCCUGUGGAUGUAGCCCGAUUAGUACGAACCACAUACAUUUGUGUGUUGGUGGUGUUUAGAUUGUGGUUUGUUAUAUGAUGUUGUGGUUUUGAGUUUUCAUAUUUUACUUCUCUU
rnacentral:lncRNA from 1 species